rnacentral:sRNA from 1 species
GCGCCUGCAAAUUCAGGUGCCAGGAUUAGCCUCUUGACCUAAUUUCAUCGACGACACAGGGCGCGUUAGCGCUUUUUUU